CCCAGCCGAUGGAUAGUCAGUAAAGAAUCAGAAUUACCUGGAAAGGUAAGCCGGAGAGGGUGACAGCCCCGUACGAGUAGAAAAGCUGACUGUUCUUGAGUAAGGCGGAGCACGAGAAAUUCUGUCUGAAAAUGGGGAGACCACUCUCCAAGGCUAAGUACUACUGAUUGACCGAUAGUGAACAAGUACCGUGAGGGAAAGGUGAAAAGCACCCCUAUAAGGGGAGUGAAAGAGAACCUGAAACCGGAUGCCUACAAGCAGUCGGAGGGUCAUAAGGCCUGACGGCGUACCUUUUGUAUAAUGGGUCAGCGACUUAAUUUAUGUAGCAAGCUUAAGCCGAUAGGUGUAGGCGUAGAGAAAUCGAGUGUUAACAGCGCGUUAAGUUACAUGAAUUAGACCCGAAACCGAGUGAUCUAGCCAUGAUCAGGUUGAAGGUUGGGUAACACCAACUGGAGGACCGAACCCACUCCCGUUGAAAAGGUAGGGGAUGAAUUGUGGCUAGGGGUGAAAGGCCAAUCAAACUCGGAAAUAGCUGGUUCUCCGCGAAAACUAUUUAGGUAGUGCGGUGAGCGGACACCUUGAGGGGUAGAGCACUGGAAGAGCUAAGGGGGAGCGAUCCUUACUAAACUUUACCAAACUCCGAAUACUCAAGAGUGAUACUCACCAGACAGACAUUAGGUGCUAAGGUCUAGUGUCGAGAGGGAAAGAGCCCAGACCGCCAAUUAAGGUCCCAAAAUUAUGGCUAAGUGGUAAAGGAAGUGAAACGUCCAAAACAGUCAGGAGGUUGGCUUAGAAGCAGCCAUCCUUUAAAGAAAGCGUAAUAGCUCACUGAUCUAAACAAGACGUCUUGCGCCGAAGAUGUAACGGGGCUAAAGCCAUAUACCGAAGUUGCGGAUUUACACGUUAAAGUGUAAGUGGUAGCGGAGCGUUCUGUAAGCCUGCGAAGGUGUACCGUAAGGUAUGCUGGAGGUAUCAGAAGUGAGAAUGCUGACAUGAGUAGCGAAAAGAAGAGUGAGAGACUCUUCCGCUGAAAGUCCAAGGUUUCCUGCGUAAAGCUAAUCUGCGCAGGGUUAGUCGGUCCCUAAGGCGAGGCAGAGAUGCGUAGUCGAUGGCAAUCAGGUUAAUAUUCCUGAACCGGCCCGGAAGUGACGGAUUGAGUAAAUUGUAAGUUCUUAUUGGAUUGAGCUUGCAGUGAAUCAGUCCCAGGAAAUAGCCCGGGCUAAGACCGUACCCGAAACCGACACAGGUGGACAGGUAGAGAAUACCAAAGCGCUUGAGAGAACUAUGUUGAAGGAACUAGGCAAAAUACUUGCGUAACUUCGGGAUAAGCAAGCCCCAUUUUAAGGCAACUUAGGGUGGGGGGCACAUACUAGGGGGUAGCGACUGUUUACUAAAAACACAGGGCUCUGCUAAAUUGAAAGAUGAAGUAUAGGGUCUGACGCCUGCCCGGUGCUGGAAGGUUAAGGAGAGAUGUGCAAGCAUUGAACUGAAGCCCCAGUAAACGGCGGCCGUAACUAUAACGGUCCUAAGGUAGCGAAAUUCCUUGUCGGGUAAGUUCCGACCUGCACGAAUGGCGUAACGACUUCCCCGCUGUCUCCAACAUAGGCUCAGCGAAAUUGAACUCUGAGUUAAGAUGCUCAGUACCCGCGGUUAGACGGAGAGACCCCGUGAACCUUUACUAUAGCUUUGCAGUGGUAUUAGGUAACAAAUGUGUAGAAUAGGUGGGAUGCUAUGAAGCUACGACGCCAGUUGUAGUGGAGCAGACUUUGAAAUACCACCCUUUUGUUGUUUGAUAUCUAACCUGCUCCCGUUAUCCGGGAGAGGGACCCUGCAUGGUGGGUAGUUUGACUGGGGCGGUCGCCUCCCAAAGAGUAACGGAGGCGCGCAAAGGUUGGCUCAGAUUGGUCAGAAAUCAAUCGUCGAGUGCAAUGGCAUAAGCCAGCCUGACUGCGAGAGAGACAUUUCGAGCAGAUACGAAAGUAGGUCAUAGUGAUCCGGUGGUCCCGAGUGGAAGGGCCAUCGCUCAACGGAUAAAAGGUACUCCGG
rnacentral:rRNA from 1 species